rnacentral:rRNA from 1 species
GACGAACGCUGGCGGCGUGCUUAACACAUGCGAGUCGAACGGAAAGGCCCCUUUGGGGGUACUCGAGUGGCGAACGGGUGAGUAACACGUGAGUAACCUGCCCUUGACUUCGGGAUAACUUCAGGAAACUGGGGCUAAUACCGGAUAGGAAUCCUUGCUGCAUGGUGGGGGUUGGAAAGCUUCGGCGGUUUUGGAUGGACUCGCGGCUUAUCAGCUUGUUGGUGGGGUAGUGGCUUACCAAGGCUUUGACGGGUAGCCGGCCUGAGAGGGCGACCGGCCACAUUGGGACUGAGAUACGGCCCAGACUCCUACGGGAGGCAGCAGUGGGGAAUAUUGCACAAUGGGCGGAAGCCUGAUGCAGCAACGCCGCGUGCGGGAUGACGGCCUUCGGGUUGGAAACCGCUUUCAGCAGGGGCGAAGCUUGUGGUGACGGUACCUGCAGAAGAAGCACCGGCUAACUACGUG